GGAGCUUGUGGUGGACACUUGACUUCAUUUCAUCGACUAAAGCGACGAGGGAGAUUGUAACACUGAGGUGAAUGCAGAAGGAUCAAACUUCAGCUCCAGGCAAUCUGCAGCUUUGAACCUGCGCGCCAUUCCUGUCAGCCUGGAACAUUUGCUUCCUGAGAAGAGAAGACUGCUUUGAGUCACAAUGGACUACCUCAAGAGGCACAAGCUGAAGGUUUUGCCAUGGCCCUCACAGUCCCCUGACCUAAACAUCAUCAGGAAUCUGUGGAUAGACUUCAAAAGAGCAGUGCAUGCAAGACGGCCCAGGAAUCUCACAGAACUAGAAGCCUUUUGCAAGGAAGAAUAGGCGAAAAUCCCCCAAACAAGAAUUGAAAGACUCCCAGCUGGCGACAAAAAGCGUUUACAAGCUGUAAUACUUGCCAAGGGGGUGUUACUAAGUACUGCAUGCAGGGUGCCCAAACUUUUGCUUUGGGCCCUUUUCUUUUUUUGUUAUUUUGAAA